GACGAACGCUGGCGGCGUGCUUAACACAUGCAAGUCGAGCGGUAAGGCCCUUUCGGGGGUACACGAGCGGCGAACGGGUGAGUAACACGUGGGUGACCUGCCCUCAGCUCUGGGAUAAGCCUGGGAAACCGGGUCUAAUACUGGAUAUGACUCCAUGACGUAUGUUGUGGGGUGGAAAGCCUUGUACGGCUGAGGAUGGGCCCGCGGCCUAUCAGCUUGUUGGUGGGGCGAUGGCCUACCAAGGCGACGACGGGUAGCCGGCCUGAGAGGGCGACCGGCCACACUGGGACUGAGACACGGCCCAGACUCCUACGGGAGGCAGCAGUGGGGAAUCUUGCGCAAUGGGCGAAAGCCUGACGCAGCGACGCCGCGUGAGGGAUGACGGCCUCGGUU
rnacentral:rRNA from 1 species